CCUACGGGACGCAGCAGUGGGGGAUAUUGCACAAUGGGGGAAACCCUGAUGCAGCGACGCCGCGUGUGGGAAGACGGUCCUCUGGAUUGUAAACCACUGUCCCCAGGGACGAAGAUGACGGUACCUGGGGAGGAAGCUCCGGCUAACUACGUGCCAGCAGCCGCGGUAAUACGUAGGGGGCAAGCGUUAUCCGGAUUUACUGGGUGUAAAGGGAGCGUAGACGGCUGUGCAAGUCUGAAGUGAAAUGCCGGGGCCCAACCCCGGAACUGUUUUGGAAACUGUACAGCUAGAGUGCAGGAGGGGUG
rnacentral:rRNA from 1 species